rnacentral:rRNA from 1 species
UACGUAGGGUGCGAGCGUUAAUCGGAAUUACUGGGCGUAAAGCGUGCGCAGGCGGUUCGUUGUGUCCGAUGUGAAAGCCCCGGGCUCAACCCUGGGAAUUGCAUUCGAAACUGCGAGGCUAGGGUACGGAAGAGGGAAGCGGAAUUUCUGGUGUAGCGGUGAAAUGCGUAGAUAUCAGAAGGAACAUCAGUGGCGAAAGCGGCUUCCUGGUCCAGUACCGACGUUCAGGCACGAAAGCGUGGGGAGCAAACAGG